GAGAUGGCCAAAGUAGCGGCGAGCGAACUGGUCGGAGCCUAAACCAUAGGGGUGUAAGCGGUAUGGCGUUGCCUGUAUGGGGUUGAAGGACCGUUUGUAGGAUGCAUACUCAUCCUGGUCAGGUAAGAAACCGAGUUAGUAGCAAAAGAGUCUGGGAAGGCACACCAUAGAGGGUUACAGUCCCGUAUGCGAAACUAACUUGGCCUGGCGAAACGGCACCUGAGUAGAACGGGGCACGAGAAACCCUGUUUGAAUCUGGGGAGACCACUCUCCAAGGCUAAAUACGAGAUAGUCACCGAUAGCGAAUAGUACCGUGAGGGAAAGGUGAAAAGAACCCCGGGAGGGGAGUGAAAGAGAACCUGAAACCGUAAACUUACAAGCGGUCAGAGCUGGUCUUCGGACUGGUGAUGGCGUGCCUUUUGUAGAAUGAGCCUGCGAGUUACGGUAGGAAGCGAGGUUAAGGUAUUGAAGUACCGAAGCCGGAGGGAAACCGAGUCUGAAAAGGGCGAAAUUAGUUUCCUGCCGUAGACGCGAAGCCAAGUGAUCUACUUAUGGCCAGGUUGAAGCUUGAGUAAAAUCAAGUGGAGGACCGAACCCUAGUCUGUUAAAAAAGGCAGGGAUGAGCUGUGAGUCGGAGUGAAAGGCUAAACAAACUUGGAGAUAGCUCGUUUUCACCGAAAUAGCUUUAGGGCUAGCCUUGCAGGAGUGUACCGGAGGUAAAGCACUGGAUGGGCUAGGGGGUGUCACAGCCUACCAAACCCAACCAAACUCUGAAUGCCGGUAUAUGCUCUGCAGGAGUCAGUCUACGGGUGAUAAGAUUCGUGGACAAGAGGGGAAGAGCCCAGACCGUUAGCUAAGGUCCCUAAACUGUGCUCAGUGGGAAAGGAAGUGUAGCGGCGAAGACAGCCAGGAGGUUGGCUUAGAAGCAGCCACUCCUUUAAAGAGUGCGUAAUAGCUCACUGGUCGAGUCGCUAUGCGCUGAUAAUGUAACGGGGCUAAGCACAGUACCGAAGCUACGGAUUGUAUGAAAGUACAGUGGUAGGUGAACGUUCCCGAGGCUGAAGAAGGUGUUCCGAGAGGAUAGCUGGAGGCAAGGGAAGUGAGAAUGCAGGCAUGAGUAACGAAAAGGGAGGUGAGAUUCCUCCCCGCCGAAAGCCCGAGGUUUCCUAAGUAAAGGUCGUCUGCUUAGGGUUAGUCGGCUCCUAAGGCGAGGCCGAAAGGCGUAGUCGAUGGGAAACUGGUUAAUAUUCCAGUACCUCGUAUAGUUUCGAAGGGAUGACGCAUGAGGCGAGUUCAGGCCGGGCGAAUGGUUGCCCCGGUUUAAGCAUCCGAGCCGGUGAUUGUGGUAGGCAAAUCCGCCGCAAGAGGUAAGGUGUGAAGACGAGUGGAGCUACGGCGAAGCGAAGCUGAAUAAGUCACGGUGCCAAGAAAUAAUCUCUAAGGUUAGGCUAUAUGAGACCGUACCGAAAACCGACACAGGUGGGCGGGAAGAAUAUUCUAAGGCGCGCGAGAGAACCCACGUUAAGGAACUCGGCAAAUUGCAUACGUAACUUCGGGAUAAGUAUGGCCGACACUUUAACGUUCACGUUGAAGAAGGUCGCAGAGAAUCGGCCCAAGCGACUGUUUACCAAAAACACAGGUCUCUGCAAAAUUGUAAAAUGAAGUAUAGGGACUGACACCUGCCCGGUGCCGGAAGGUUAAGAGGAGCUGUUAGCGUAAGCGAAGCAGUGAAUUGAAGCCCCGGUAAACGGCGGCCGUAACUAUAACGGUCCUAAGGUAGCGAAAUUCCUUGUCGGGUAAGUUCCGACCCGCACGAAUGGUGUAACGACUUGGGCGCUGUCUCAACGUGGGACUCGGUGAAAUUGGAGUAAGGGUGAAGAUACCCUUUACCCGUGGUUAGACGGAAAGACCCCGUGAACCUUUACUGCAGCUUGGCAUUGAGACUUGGUCAGACAUGUGUAGGAUAGGUGGGAAACUGAGAAGUCUGUACGCUAGUAUGGAUGGAGUUGUUGGUGAAAUACCACCCUUGUCUGAUUAGGUUUCUAACUGUGGCCCUGAAGCGGGUCAGAGGACAAUGUCAGGUGGGCAGUUUGACUGGGGCGGUCGCCUCCUAAAGAGUAACGGAGGCGCGCGAAGGUUCCCUUGCGCUGGUUGGAAAUCAGCGUGUAAGUGUAAAGGCAGAAGGGAGCUUGACUGCGAGACAAACAAGUCGAGCAGGUACGAAAGUAGGUCUUAGUGAUCUGGCCGUGGCGAGUGGAAGCGCGGUCACUUAACGGACAAAAGGUACUCCGGGGAUAACAGGCUGAUUUUGCCCAAGAGUUCAUAUCGACGGCAAAGUUUGGCACCUCGAUGUCGGCUCAUCGCAUCCUGGGGCUGGAGCAGGUCCCAAGGGUAUGGCUGUUCGCCAUUUAAAGCGGUACGUGAGCUGGGUUCAGAACGUCGCGAGACAGUUCGGUCCCUAUCUGCCACGGGCGUGGGAUGCUUGAGAGGAUCUGCUUUUAGUACGAGAGGACCGAAGUGGACGAACCGCUGGUGUACCAGUUAUCCUGCCAAGGGUACGUGCUGGGUAGCUACGUUCGGACGGGAUAACCGCUGAAGGCAUCUAAGUGGGAAGCCCCCCUCAAGAUGAGGCAUCACACCAUCAAAAGAUGGCUGAAGGGCCCUGGAAGAAUACCAGGUUGAUAGGUUGGAGGUCUAAGUGCAGGAAUGUAUGCAGCCGACCAAUACUAAUCGCCCGUGAGGCUUGACCAUAUUU
rnacentral:rRNA from 1 species